CGAGGAACCGUUACCUGGGCUCGAACGUAAGAUGACUGUAGGUGAAAGCUUACAUCUCUUCGGAGCAUUUUACGAGGUGCUGCAUGGUUGUCGUCAGCUCGUGCCGUGAGGUGUCGGGUUAAGUCCCAUAACGAGCGCAACCCCUACCUUAGUUGCCAUCAGGUUAAGCUGGGGACUCUAAAGGAACUGCCUACGCAAGUAGUGAGGAAGCGGGGAUGACGUCAAAUCAGCACGGCCCUUACGUCCAGGGCUACACACGUGCUACAAUGGCCGAUACAGAGGGCAGCUACCUGGUGACAGGAUGCAAAUCUCCAAAGUCGGUCUCAGUUCGGAUCGGAGUCUGCAACCCGACUCCGUGAAGUUGGAUUCGCUAGUAAUCGCGCAUCAGCCAUGGCGCGGUGAAUACGUUCCCGGGCCUU
rnacentral:rRNA from 1 species